UCUAGGUAUUAUUCUGCACAAGAGUCUGUUGAAUUGUUUCCUACCCUCGCACGAAAUGGUAAAGAUAAAACUCUGAAGGGAACUGUGGUAUAUUACGAUGGACAAAUGAAUGACUCACGCGUCAAUGUUGCAUUAGCAUGCUCUGCUGCUUUGGCUGGUGCAGCUGUGCUUAACCAUGCAGAAGUGGUAUCCCUUCUCAAAGAUGAGGGUGAUGGUAGAAUAAUUGGUGCACGUAUUCGGAAUAAUUUAUCAGGGAAGGAGUUUGAUGCAUAUGCAAAAGUUGUUGUUAACGCUGCCGGGCCUUCUUGUGAUUCUGUACGGACGUUAGCUGAUAAAGAUGCAAAACCCAUGAUUUGUCCCAGUAGUGGUGUACAUAUUAUACUUCCUGAUUAUUAUUCUCCAGACGGGAUGGGCUUGAUUGUCCCUAAAACUAAGGAUGGUCGAGUGGUCUUUAUGCUUCCAUGGUUGGGCAGAACAGUAGCUGGUACCACUGAUUCAAACACCAGCAUAACGAUGCUGCCAGAACCUCAUGAGAAUGAGAUCGAAUUCAUUUUGGAUGCCAUCUCUGAUUAUCUUAAUGUUAAGGUACGACGUACUGAUGUUCUAUCUGCUUGGAGUGGUAUCCGCCCUCUAGCAAUUGACCCCAAGGCAAGUAGUACGGCGAGCAUCUCCAGAGAUCAUGUUG
rnacentral:misc_RNA from 1 species